CAGCAGCCGCGGUAAUACGGAGGGUGCAAGCGUUAAUCGGAAUUACUGGGCGUAAAGCGCACGCAGGCGGUCUGACAAGUCAGAUGUGAAAUCCUCGGGCUUAACCUGGGAACUGCAUUUGAAACUGUCAGGCUGGAGUCUUGUAGAGGGGGGUAGAAUUCCAGGUGUAGCGGUGAAAUGCGUAGAGAUCUGGAGGAAUACCGAUGGCGAAGGCAGCCAUCUGGCCUAAUACUGACGCUGAGGUACGAAAGCAUGGGGAGCAAACAGGAUUAGAGACCCCUGUAGUCCCUGUCUCUUAUAC
rnacentral:rRNA from 1 species